rnacentral:rRNA from 1 species
GAUGAACGCUGGCGGCGUGCCUAACACAUGCGAGUCGAGCGAUUCUCUUCGGAGAAGAGCGGCGGACGGGUGAGUAACGCGUGGGUAACCUGCCCUGUACACACGGAUAACAUACCGAAAGGUAUGCUAAUACGAGAUAAUAUGCUUUUAUCGCAUGGUAGAAGUAUCAAAGCUUUUGCGGUACAGGAUGGACCCGCGUCUGAUUAGCUAGUUGGUAAGGUAACGGCUUACCAAGGCGACGAUCAGUAGCCGACCUGAGAGGGUGAUCGGCCACAUUGGAACUGAGACACGGUCCAAACUCCUACGGGAGGCAGCAGUGGGGAAUAUUGCACAAUGGGCGAAAGCCUGAUGCAGCAACGCCGCGUGAGCGAUGAAGGCCUUCGGGUCGUAAAGUUCUGUCCUCAAGGAAGAUAAUGACGGUACUUGAGGAGGAAGCCCCGGCUAACUACGUG